UGGGGAAUUUUGGACAAUGGGCGCAAGCCUGAUCCAGCCAUGCCGCGUGCAGGAUGAAGGCCUUCGGGUUGUAAACCGCUUUUGUCAGGGAAGAAACGAGUUUCUCUAAUACAGAGACUUAAUGACGGUACCUGAAGAAUAAGCACCGGCUAACUACGUGCCAGCAGCCGCGGUAAUACGUAGGGUGCAAGCGUUAAUCGGAAUUACUGGGCGUAAAGCGUGCGCAGGCGGUUAUGCAAGACAGAUGUGAAAUCCCCGGGCUCAACCUGGGACCUGCAUUUGUGACUGUAUAGCUAGAGUACGGUAGAGGGGGAUGGAAUUCCGCGUGUAGCAGUGAAAUGCGUAGAUAUGCGGAGGAACACCGAUGGCGAAGGCAAUCCCCUGGACCUGUACUGACGCUCAUGCACGAAAGCGUGGGGAGCAAACA
rnacentral:rRNA from 1 species